CAUAAUGUAAAUCUUUGUCCAACAUUUGACCGUCCGUCUUAUUUGAAAUAUUUAUAAAAACUUUUUUAAAGAAUAGUCACACAUAAAAUACUAUUCAUAUUUUAUCAUUUAAUAAUAAUAAAAAUAGUAAUCAUAAAAAUUUUUCACAUAAGAUGAACGGUCAAACGUUGAAGAUGAAUAGUGCAAAAUUGCACUUAUU
rfam:Oryza glaberrima chromosome 4 Oglab04_0101_11, whole genome shotgun sequence.